rnacentral:rRNA from 1 species
UACGGAGGGUGCAGCGUUAUCCGGAUUCACUGGGUUUAAAGGGUGCGUAGGUGGGCAGGUAAGUCAGUGGUGAAAUCCCCGAGCUUAACUUGGGAACUGCCAUUGGUACUACCUGUCUUGAAUACCCUGGAGGUGAGCGGAAUAUGUCAUGUAGCGGUGAUAUGCUUAGAUAUGACAUAGAACACCAAUUGCGAAGGCAGCACACUACACGGUCAUUGACACUGAGGCACGAAAGCGUGGGGAUCAAACAGG